rnacentral:rRNA from 1 species
UACAGAGGUCUCAAGCGUUGUUCGGAUUCAUUGGGCGUAAAGGGUGUGUAGGUGGCGCGCUAAGUCGGGUGUGAAAUUUCGGAGCUUAACUCCGAAACUGCAUUCGAUACUGGCGUGCUUGAGGACUGGAGAGGAGACUGGAAUUUACGGUGUAGCAGUGAAAUGCGUAGAUAUCGUAAGGAAGACCAGUGGCGAAGGCGGGUCUCUGGACAGUUCCUGACACUGAGACACGAAAGCGUGGGUAGCAAACAGG